GUUUCCAAGAUGGCCGCCAAGUGAACUGACUUUCCUUUUAUUUGGGACAUUGGUUUUACGUUAAUGUCUGCAAAUCAACAGCAUCAGCUGCUUAGCUGUCAUUUUGGGAUUAUUAUAUUGCAUCAUUAAGGACAUACAACAUGAAGAUGUAUGAGCUGGAUUGAUGUGGAUUUCUUAUACGGAGAAUCAGAGGUUGGGGUUUAUUUGGAUUUACUGAAUUCUUGAUUGAAUUGUCGUCAGACGGGCCUACAAUGAUCUGAUCACCUUCCGAACCCUAAAGUUUCUGGCAGAGAGCAUCGUGCAACCCUAUCUGCAAUUUUCUUAACAAGACAAAUGAGAACGUGUUGGAUAACUGUUAAUUACAUCCAUCAGCGGCUAACACAGAUUAGCACUAGCGUACCUGUGGAGUUAACAGCUGUUUCAAGCACCAAAAGGCUUCGCUGGGCCUAUCAGAGAUUAGCUUUUCAAAUUAAUUCCUGACAAAAGUCGUUUAAUCAGAUUCUGUUAUGUAAUGCAGAUUUCAGAAAUACACAAUUUUGGAAGGUUUGUGAGUCUCUUUAGAGUUUGAAUAAACAACAAGGACGAACUGUUGCCCCAAGAUUGCAAUCGGUUAAAUGUGUUUGCAUGGUUUCUGACGAGUGGGAACCACUUUACCUUAAGGCUAUUUUGAGUGGCACUGCUGUGAAUAAAGGGUUGUGCUGGGUGUUUUGUGUUUUCUGGAUAUAAUUUGUUGUUUGUUUAGAUAAAGGGUUGUUUUAUUCAAAUGUUCACGUUUGAUUAGAAUCUUGAAACACUGAUGCUAUAUUUCAGGAGAGUCUGCUGUUGAAAUAUGCAUGGAGCUUCAGGGGAAGUGAUUUGGCUUUACUUUUAGAUAUAUUUGCCGGACAUUAUGGACAUUAUGCAUUGUUGUUUUUAUUUAAGAGCGAUAAAGAAAAUACAGAGCAGGAUGUGUACAAAUGAGUGAAAACGAUAAAUGACUUCUUGUCAAGGGGUGUAAUCCUUACAGUUUAUUUGUUUGCUUUGCAACUUGCCUCAUUAUUAUAGAAUUAAAUAAUGUGCGAUGACAGUUGUGUAAUCAGUACACUGGUCAUUUUAUAGUGACUUGAGUUUGAUUCACAU